AUGAAAAAGGAAGGUCAUCAACACGGUUUCGUUCGGACCGGGAUGAUUCAUCCGCCAGGAUUUAGUCCAAGACCCUCCAACCAAUUCAUGAACCGGCUUGAUUCGCCACCGGCUUCAGGAGAACAUACCAAAGUGCCAUCAAAACCUACCCACCAUUCUAAAUUUACAGGAAAACAUGAGCGUUCCAAGUAUAGCAAUUGCCAUGUAUUGCCGGCUAUGAAGUCUGCUGACACAUCCAAGGGUCGCCAAAAGUUAAAGUCGACAGAUUGGUGGGUUGAUGAUAAGCUAGAUCGGCUCACCGGUUCGGGUGCCUCCUCUGCUAGAGAUAUUUUGGAUACAAUAGGUGGUGAAGGUUAUGGUGGUCAUGAUUAUGAUGAUGACGAUGACUGUUAAUCAUUUCAUCAAGAAACUUGAAAGUUGUUUUUUUCUUAUAUGUUGAAUUAGAUAACAUCUGUAAGACUAGUUUCGAAAAUAAAAAUGAAACAGCUAUGGAAAGAAAAAAGAAGAAGAUAUUUUCGAAUCAAUGCAAAAGUAUGAUAGAGUGCAACAUUAUUUAGUAUAAAGUUUUUCUAUAGAGUUUUUCUUGGGUUCACCCUUUAGAAUGAACAUGUACAUGUUAACCAACCAAUAAAAUUUAGUUAUUUUAGAUUCAGAUUUUUUUUAAAGAAAAUAAAAUAAUAAGAAUUUGUCAAGUUAUAUUAUAUUUUUAAAAUAAAUAAAAAUAAAUAAUAAUUACCAAUUUUUUUAACAUUGUUAACGCUAUCACGAAAACACUAAAUCAUAAACUUUAAAUCCUAAACCCUUAGGUAAACUCUAGAUCUUUGGGUAAACUCUAAACUUUUGGAUAAAUCCUAAACCUUAAAUCAUAAACAUCAAAAACUAAAUAUUAAAAACUCUAAAUCCUAAAUAGUAAACCCUAAACUCUUGGGAUUUAUGAUUUAUCCAAAGAUUCAAAGUUUAUGGUUAAGGAUCUAGGGUUUAUUAUUUUUAAAAUAUAGUUUUAAUGUUUAUGAUUUAUAGUUUAGGAUUUAUCCAAGAGUUUAUGUUUUAUCCGAGAGUUUAGAAUUUAAAAUUUAGGAUUUAGUUAUUUGCUAACGGAUUUAACACUAUUAAAAAAUUAUUUUUUGGUAAUUAUUAACAUUUUUAUUUAAAAAUAAUAAUAUAACUUGACAAAUUGUUAUUAUCUUGUUUUUUUUAAAAGAUAUUGAGUCUUAGAUAACUAAAUUCUAUUGGUUGAUGAACUUAAGGGUAUACUCAAGAAAAACUCUUUAAUAUAACAAUACAAAAAACAAAAGGGCAAAGACCCAAAACCUGAAGUAUUGGAUUCAUUUCUCUGAAUAAAUAGACUAAUCCAACAAUCCUCUUUAUAUCCUCCCGAGUGAUUUAGGAAUGUUCAUUACAUAGAAGAUUAUUGAAACUAAAAUCAAAAGCUAUUACUCUUGAUCAAAGUUUUAUUGACCAGAUGUGAAUAUCUGAAUAAAACAAACCAUUCUAUCAAUUACUUUACUUUGGAACAAAAUAAUUAAAAUUAGCUUUAGAUCUGAUUCACUGGAAUGUGUACUAUUUUCAGUGGAUUUUUCAAAGGAAUAGUAUUUCUAAUUAUUUCCGUUUCUUUCUUAUAUAUGGUAUUGUUAUUUUAAAUAAAAUAUGAUGUGGACAUCUUUAGAAAGAGCAACAAAAAAAGACUUUUAAAUUAUCAGAUAAUGUGGAGAAAAAAGUAGAAUAUAAUACUAAUUUCUUGGCGACCAAGUGCAUCUGACUAUUCGCAUUUUCUUGUGUCCCAAACAUAUUUGGUAUAACCCUCAAUUAUAUGUCCUUCUAUAAAUAUAUCCACACAUGCAUUGGUAGUUUUACAAUUCAUCAAAGUCUCAAAGCAAAAUAAGCAAAAAUGAAAAAGGAAGGUCGUCAACACGGCUUCGUUCGGACUGGGAUGAUUCAUCCGCCAGGAUUUAGUCCAAGACCCUCCAACCAAUUCAUGAACCGGCUUGAUUCGCCACCGGCUUCACGAGAAUUUACCAAAGUGACCAUCAAAACCUACCAACCAUUCUAAAUUUACAGGAAAAAAUGAGCGUUCCAAGUAUAGCAACUGCCAUGUGUCGCCGGCUAUGAUGUCUGCUGACACAUCCAAGGGUCGCCAACAGUUAAAGUCAAUAGAUUGGUGGGUUGAUGAUAAGCUAGA
rnacentral:lncRNA from 1 species